CCUACGGGAGGCAGCAGUGGGGAAUUUUGGACAAUGGGGGCAACCCUGAUCCAGCCAUUCCGCGUGAGUGAAGAAGGCCUUCGGGUUGUAAAGCUCUUUCGCAAGGGAAGAAAACUUAUGAUCGAAUAAAUCAUGAGGUUGACGGUACCUUGAUAAGAAGCACCGGCUAACUACGUGCCAGCAGCCGCGGUAAUACGUAGGGUGCGAGCGUUAAUCGGAAUUACUGGGCGUAAAGCGUGCGCAGGCGGUUUUGUAAGUCGGAUGUGAAAUCCCCGGGCUCAACCUGGGAACUGCGUUCGAAACUGCAAGGCUAGAGUGUGUCAGAGGGGGGUAGAAUUCCACGUGUAGCAGUGAAAUGCGUAGAGAUGUGGAGGAAUACCAAUGGCGAAGGCAGCCCCCUGGGAUAACACUGACGCUCAUGCACGAAAGCGUGGGGAGCAAACAGGAUUAGAUACCCUGGUAGUCCACGCCCUAAACGAUGUCAACUAGUUGUUGGUAGAGUAAAAUCUAUGAGUAACGUAGCUAACGCGUGAAGUUGACCGCCUGGGGAGUACGGUCGCAAGAUUAAAACUUAAAUGAAUUGACGGCUGAGAGNGCGAGACGACGACGAGGGAGGAGG
rnacentral:rRNA from 1 species